rnacentral:lncRNA from 1 species
UUUAGAACAAAGAAAAACCCACUGUUUGAGUGGCCGCUGGAUUCAUUACUUUCUGAAAAUAUUUUAUGUUUAAAGAACAAAGAAACAAGGGGAAAUAUUAUUGAAAUAUCCAAUUUUCUUCUACACAACAUAUAGACAAUAACAAAAGGGCACAAUGAGGACCAAUAGAAACACAAUCCCAGAUUUAUUAGUCACAAACAAGGCCAACACACCAAUUAAAAAGAAAAAAAAAUCACAGGAAUAUUGUCUUGAGAUCACAGAAAGUCAAAUUGCAUCUAGUACCACACUUCUUCUGCUUGAUAAAAUAGGAUGUAUAACAUGAGCCGUCACUCACAAGUACAGCAACUCCCAUGUAUCAUUACUUCUUCAUAAUCUACCCCCUUGAUGGAGUCCAUGAGCAAGUUUGUCUUGGAAGAUUGCUGCUUGUCUUGAGGGACCUAGCAAAUAAACAC